rnacentral:rRNA from 1 species
GUUAGGAAUAUUGGACAAUGGGCGCAAGCCUGAUCCAGCAAUGCCGCGUGCAGGAAGAAGGCCUUCGGGUUGUAAACUGCUUUUGUACGGAACGAAACGGUCCUGGUUAAUACCUGGGGCUAAUGACGGUACCGUAAGAAUAAGCACCGGCUAACUACGUGCCAGCAGCCGCGGUAAUACGUAGGGUGCGAGCGUUAAUCGGAAUUACUGGGCGUAAAGCGUGCGCAGGCGGUGCUGUAAGACAGGCGUGAAAUCCCCGGGCUCAACCUGGGAAUUGCGCUUGUGACUGCAGUGCUGGAGUACGGCAGAGGGGGAUGGAAUUCCGCGUGUAGCAGUGAAAUGCGUAGAUAUGCGGAGGAACACCGAUGGCGAAGGCAGUCCCCUGGGCCUGUACUGACGCUCAUGCACGAAAGCGUGGGGAGCAAACAGGAUUAGAAACCCUGGUAGUCC